GCUUGAUGGAAUUAUCAGACUUGUAGCAAAGUUGUUCUAACAAGUGUGAUACAGUCAUGAUAUAACAAGAAUGUUACAAGGUUGACGACCCAAGGUUGUAACAAUAUUGUUGUAUGUAGACUGUAUCGGACUUGUUGGAACAACCUUGCAACAAGUCUGUUAAUAUCAACAAGG